AGUGAACGCUGGCGGUAGGCCUAACACAUGCAAGUCGAACGGCAGCACAGGAGAGCUUGCUCUCUGGGUGGCGAGUGGCGGACGGGUGAGGAAUACAUCGGAAUCUACUUUUUCGUGGGGGAUAACGUAGGGAAACUUACGCUAAUACCGCAUACGACCUACGGGUGAAAGCAGGGGACCUUCGGGCCUUGCGCGAUUGAAUGAGCCGAUGUCGGAUGAGCUAGUUGGCGGGGUAAAGGCCCACCAAGGCGACGAUCCGUAGCUGGUCUGAGAGGAUGAUCAGCCACACUGGAACUGAGACACGGUCCAGACUCCUACGGGAGGCAGAAGUGGGGAAUAUUGGACAAUGGGCGCAAGCCUGAUCCAGCCAUACCGCGUGGGUGAAGAAGGCCUUCGGGUUGUAAAGCCCUUUUGUUGGGAAAGAAAUCCAGCUGGCUAAUACCCGGUUGGGAUGACGGUACCCAAAGAAUAAGCACCGGCUAACUUCGUGCCAGCAGCCGCCGCAG
rnacentral:rRNA from 1 species